rnacentral:rRNA from 1 species
AGGCUUUCGGGCUGUAAACCGCUUUCAGCAGGAACGAAAAUGACGGUACCUGCAGAAGAAGGAGCGGCCAACUAUGUGCCAGCAGCCGCGGUGAUACAUAGGCUUCAAGCGUUGUCCGGAUUUAUUGGGCGUAAAGAGUUCGUAGGCGGUCGAGUAAGUCGGGUGUGAAAAUUCUGGGCUCAACCCAGAGACGCCACCCGAUACUGCUUAACUUGAGUUCGAUAGGGGAGUGGGGAAUUCCUAGUGUAGCGGUGAAAUGCGCAGAUAUUAGGAGGAACACCGGUGGCGAAGGCGCCACUCUGGAUCGACACUGACGCUGAGGAACGAAAGCAUGGGUAGCAAACAGGAUUAGAUACCCUGGUAGUCCAUGCGGUAAACGGUGGGCACUAGGUGUGGGUUUCUAUUAACGAAAUCCGCGCCGUCGCUAACGCAUUAAGUGCCCCGCCUGGGGAGUACGGUCGCAAGACUA